GCGGCAGCUGCAUCUGUACUGUUGUCAUUGCUCAGCCUUUCACCCUGCAUGUGCUUACUACAUUAUAAAAAUAACUGUAAAAUAGUAACAAUUUCUUCCAUCUCUCAACCCCUGUGAAAUGCUGAGUGACUGGAGUCAAAAGUAGUGUCUGGAGAGCAAUCAUUUUUGUGGUCAAGGAGAAGAAAGGAAGAUAAGACCCAGGAAAACACCGAUGAAGGAGAAUUAUCCUUAUUUCACCUUGGUGUUAACAAAAGCCUUAACAAGCCUGGAGCCUGAGUGCAGAAAAUGUGCUGUCUCAUCACUCCCCAUUUGUUGUGAUACUGGCUGUGUGUGAUGAGAACAAGGGAGCUUUCCAUUUGGAGUGGCUCCUGGAUGUCUCACUACAUCAGCCCCAAGGAACAGCUGCCUCUUCCAUCCCCUCUUGUGAUGAUAACUCAGCAGUCACCAACUUUCACCCAGUAUCAAAGGCAGAUACGGUAGAUAGAAAAAUGAAAAACUCUGGGCAGAAGUCAUUCCCAAAAAGAGCCUUAUAGAGUAACCAGUCUUCCAUCUGGAUAUGUUGUAACAUGAAAGUGAGUAUUAUGCUGCAAAAUUUGAAUUUGUACUUAUAAUUGUUUUGGUGUCAUACGAUCAGAAUAAAAGAAUUCUGUGUAAUUAUGGUCUGUGUAAU
rnacentral:lncRNA from 1 species